GACGAACGCUUGCGGCGUGCUUAACACAUGCAAGUCGAACGGAAAGGCCCUGCUUUUGUGGGGUGCUCGAGUGGCGAACGGGUGAGUAACACGUGAGUAACCUGCCCUUGACUUUGGGAUAACUUCAUGAAACUGGGGCUCAUACCGGAUAGGAGCUCCUGCUGCAUGGUGGGGGUUGGAAAGUUUCGGCGGUUGGGGAUGGACUCGCGGCUUAUCAGCAUGUUGGUGGGGUAGUGGCUUACCAAGGCUUUGACGGGUAGCCGGCCUGAGAGGGUGACCGGCCACAUUGUGACUGAGAUACGGCCCAGACUCCUACGGGAGGGAGCAGUGGGGAAUAUUGCACAACAGGCGGAAGUCGGAUGGAGCAACGCCGCGUGCGGAAUGACGGCCUUCGGGUUGUAAACCGCUUUCGCCUGUGACGAGGCGUGAGUGACGGUAAUGGGUAAAGAAGUACCGGCUAACUACGU
rnacentral:rRNA from 1 species